GCGGCGGCGAAAGCCGAAGUGGUACGAAAAUCCGUCGGGAGCAAUCCCAUGCCGGUUCGAGUCCGGCCGCCCGCACCA
rnacentral:tRNA from 1 species